UUUGAACGCGAAGAACCUUACCAGGUCUUGACAUCCAGUGCAAACGUAAGAGAUUAGGUGUUCCUUUCGGGGACGGAGAGACAGGUGGUGCAUGGCUGUCGUCAGCUCGUGUCGUGAGAUGUGGGGUUAAGUCCCGCAACGAGCGCACCCCUUGUCAUUAGUUCCCAUCAUUAAGUUGGGCACUCUAAUGAGACUGCCGGUGACAACCCGGAGGAAGGUGGGGAUGACGUCAAAUCAUCAUGCCCCUUAUGACCUGGGCUACACACGUGCUACAAUGGCCGGUACAAAGGGAAGCGAACCUGCGAAGGCAAGCGRAUCUCUUAAAGCCGGCUCAUUUCGGACUGUAGUCUGCAACUCGCCUAGCACGAAGCUGGAAUCGCUAGUAAUCGCGAU
rnacentral:rRNA from 1 species